GGUCUGCCACAGUACACUGAAGCAUUACAGUCAUUUAGUACAGAUAAGACGGGACAUUUUGUGUCCUUUCCUUGGAACGCUGAACAAAAGAGGCGACGAUUCCUGCUGGAAUUGCUUUUUUUAGAGGGAUUUUUGCCAUCAUUUCACUUGAGAGUACCUUUGAAUCUCAUCUUUCUUGGGAUUCAGUUUAAGUUGGUAGUGAACAGUUCCCUAUUUUCCAUGAACAUAUCUUUGUUUGAUGUAUCAUUUUGAGGAGAGAAGAUACUAGAGAAGAGAGGACCACUGAAAGGGUAGCAAUUUCCUGUGAAGCUGAGAGCUGAAAACCAAGCGCAAGUCUAUUACAUUGUGUGUUCAUGUUGGGGAAAUUACUGAGAAUUACAGUCACUGGUACUUGGGACUGUUGACAGCCGAGGAGAGACGUUAAGAAAAAUCUGAAAGAGGUGAAGUUCUGUUGGAUUUUGAUCUCCAGGUCCUUAAAAAGACAGACAGCUUAUCAGCGAGAUAGAAGUGUUUUUGUGAAAUAAACCUCAACAAGGUUCACAGAUAAAUAAAGCAACCGACAGUCUAAUGAUAAUUGUUAGGUAAGGAUGAUU